rnacentral:rRNA from 1 species
CAGCAGCCACGGUAAUACGAAGGGUGCAAGCGUUAAUCGGAAUUACUGGGUGUAAAGCGUGCGUAGGCGGUUUGUUAAGUCUGUUGUGAAAUCCCCGGGCUCAACCUGGGAAUGGCAAUGGAUACUGGCAAGCUAGAGUGUGUCAGAGGAUGGUGGAAUUCCCGGUGUAGCGGUGAAAUGCGUAGAGAUCGGGAGGAACAUCAGUGGCGAAGGCGGCCAUCUGGGACAACACUGACGCUGGGGCACGAAAGCGUGGGGGGCAAACAGGAUUAGAUACCCCUGUAGUCCCUGUCUCUUAUAC